UCCUAUAUCACUAAUUCCUAGAGUCACACGCAUAAGCACGUCAUAACAUUAAUAUAGAGGAAAAUGCUAUUUGUACCUGAUAUUUGUACAUUUUCUACCUGUCAAAUAGAAUGAAGACACUUUUACAUACAAACAAAAAUUAAUAAAUUGAAUGAGCUUGCUUUGCUUUGCAGUGAAAAGUGUCAUAUGCAAUAUUGUGCGUCAUUAAUGUCUAGCACAAAUAUUUUAUACAUAUAUUUCUUGUGUUUUGUGCUUCUCACGAACUGCAUAUGGCAUAUCGGAUCAUACAUUUUUUUUUUUUUGGUGGGUCACUUAACUGAUUUUAUAUUUACAAAGUCUAAAUUAGUUUAAUGU
rnacentral:lncRNA from 1 species